GGUGUGCGGCUCGAUACUUUAAUUCCGUGUUGCUUGAGUCCUCUAUAUAUCCUACGAGGGUUACAAGCGUCAGUAGUAUCGUAGAGGAAUACGGAUAUCUUAGCGCCCUGGGCCUUCACGGGUCCGUACCUCGCUCAUUGUGUUCUGCUUUGAGGGGGGUGGGUCGGUAGUUCGGACAUAC
rnacentral:snoRNA from 1 species